rnacentral:tRNA from 1 species
UGAGCAAAGACAGCAUCGUCCUGUCGGGCGUCUUCACAAAGUACCUGCAUUCAGAGAAUCACAACGGCCAGGCCGCUGUGAGAGUCCCUUUUGGGGCCUUAGCUCAGCUGGGAGAGCACCUGCUUUGCAAGCAGGGGGUCGUCGGUUCGAUCCCGACAGGCUCCACCAUGUUCGAGCAUGUUCCGGAAAGUAUUUCCGGGUCUGUAGCUCAGGUGGUUAGAGCGCACCCCUGAUAAGGGUGAGGUCGGUAGUUCGAGUCUACCCAGACCCACCAUUCUCUGAAUGACGCAUACAAUCGAUCUUUAUACGCAUCAGCACUGUGGCUGGUACGUGUUCUUUUAAAACUUGUGACGUAGCGAGCGUUUGAGAUGUUCUAUCAGACGUGUCGUGAGGCUAAGGCGAGAGACAUAAGUCUCUUUAUUGAUUGAGUCGCUAUAUUCGUAUCCGGGCUUUGUACCCCCGGGUCAUAUGUAACCCAAGGCACUUGCGGUUAUAUG